rnacentral:rRNA from 1 species
AACGCUAGCUACAGGCUUAACACAUGCAAGUCGAGGGGCAGCAUGAACUUAGCUUGCUAAGUUUGAUGGCGACCGGCGCACGGGUGAGUAACACGUAUCCAACCUGCCGAUGACUCGGGGAUAGCCUUUCGAAAGAAAGAUUAAUACCCGAUGGCAUAGUUCUUCCGCAUGGUAGAACUAUUAAAGAAUUUCGGUCAUCGAUGGGGAUGCGUUCCAUUAGGUUGUUGGCGGGGUAACGGCCCACCAAGCCUUCGAUGGAUAGGGGUUCUGAGAGGAAGGUCCCCCACAUUGGAACUGAGACACGGUCCAAACUCCUACGGGAGGCAGCAGUGAGGAAUAUUGGUCAAUGGGCGAGAGCCUGAACCAGCCAAGUAGCGUGAGGGAUGACUGCCCUAUGGGUUGUAAACCUCUUUUAUAAGGGAAUAAAACGCUCCACGAGUGGAGCUUUGCAUGUACCUUUUGAAUAAGGAUCGGCUAACUCCGUGCCAGCAGCCGCGGUAAUACGGAGGAUCCGAGCGUUAUCCGGAUUUAUUGGGUUUAAAGGGUGCGUAGGCGGACUAAUAAGUCAGCUGUGAAAGUUUGCGGCUCAACCGUAAAAUUGCAGUUGAAACUGUUAGUCUUGAGUGUACAUAAGGUAGGCGGAAUUCGUGGUGUAGCGGUGAAAUGCUUAGAUAUCACGAAGAACUCCGAUUG